rnacentral:rRNA from 1 species
CGAAAGCCUGACGGAGCAACGCCGCGUGUGGGAAGAAGGCCUUUGGGCUGUCAACCACUUUUCUCAGGGAAGAAGCUCUGACGGUACCUGAGGAAUCAGCCUCGGCUAACUCCGUGCCAGCAGCCGCGGUAAUACGGAGGAGGCAAGCGUUAUCCGGAAUUAUUGGGCGUAAAGCGUCCGCAGGGGCGCAUCGAGUCUGCUGUCAAAGACCGAGGCUCAACCUCGGGUCGGCAGUGGAAACUGGAUAGCUAGAGGUCGGUAGGGGCAAAGGGAAUUCCCAGUGUAGCGGUGAAAUGCGUAGAUAUUGGGAAGAACACCGGUGGCGAAAGCGCUCUACUGGGUCGCGCCUGACCCUCAGGGAACGAAAGCUAAGGUAGCG